UUUUGUCAGGUGUUUUACAGCAGCAAGAACAAAAAGCUAGCAGACCUCACCUGUAAAUAGGGCUGAUAUUAGACAUCAUCACACCCGAGAGAGGACCGCCACACCACCUGCCCAGCUGUCCUGACAGGAUAGUGUCGGGGAAGAGUGCCAUCCCAGCACUGGGGCCGAUGAGGCAGGAGACACAGAAGUACUACACCAUCGAGUUCGAGGCCAGUGUGGUCUGCAACAAAGCCUUGUACACUUGGUGACUGUCACACUCUUGUAAGACUGGGUCAAUUUCCAGCAUUUUGUUCUUUAUGGGUUUUUUUUUUGUCCCCCACUAUCUUCAAGAGUUCCUUUACUGUGUGACUUCUGCUGGCAUCACUUCUUCUGGGACAUCUUCAUCUUCUUUUGGUCAUAACUGUCCCUUGUCCAUGUCACCAACUCUUCCUUCACUAAAUUCCCCUUUCUGUGCAUCCAGAAUCUCUCCAGUGGUGGCCACGGCUGUGUUCACACCUCCAGCAGCACCCCCCAGCAUCCCAUCUGAGGUGUACCUCCAGCAGCACACACCCCCCAGCGUCAAACCUGAUAUGCUCUGCACGGGCCAGGAGCAACAUGAAGUCGGAGCAUGACUCUCGAAUCUCUGAAACUCCUCCCAGGGACGGGGUCUCAUCACCCAACUUUUCCUGAGGUCACCCAAGAACCCAAAAGAGGUGCUGCACCCCGUGCUGCUGAAAGAAGGACGGAUGUGAGUCACUGCAAUGGUUACGUUCAGAUUCGUUUUCUUUCUAAUUACGUGCCUCUGUGUAGAUAUGUGCACAUGACUACACAUGUCCUCGGAGACCAGAAGAGGCUUCAGAUGCCCUGGAGCUGGGAUUGCAGGCAGCUGUGAGCCACCUGAGGUGGGUGCUGCCAACUAAACUCGAGUCCUCUGGAAGAGCGGCAAGCCCUACUAAUUGCUGGACUGUCUAGCCUGGUCAGAAAUAAUUUUGACUGCCCCAUUUGCUGGGGAGGGCGGGGGAAGAAAGAAAAAAGGAAAGAAAAAGUGCAGGGACCACCUGAAGGAGCAUCGGGGCAGAAGUCCCAUCCUGCCCCCCGUGGCGUCUGACGUUGCUCAGGCUAGCCCCACGCUGCAGCUCCAGGCCUCUCCUUUCCCCCGCCCCGCAGCCUCCGUUCACUGCCCUUCAGCGUUAAAUUGAUUUUAAUAGCAUUCAAUUUUCUCAAGUGCUGGAGAGACAGACAGGCUACAAAGGGAGUGGUAUUGCCACCUCUCUUUUCUCCUGGAUUCCCAGAUGGACAUUAAAAAGUCAUUUCAUGUGACACUCAGCCCCUGGCCCCAGGAGAGAUAACAGGAAACAGCACCAGCCCAGAGCUGGCUGAUUGUGCCAAUUAGCUAACCACAGCAGGAACCACCCAGAAGCCUGGAGGAGAAGGGGCAGUGCAGCAGAGAAGCGGUGUGAGUGGUUUUUCCUGAGUGGUUUUCAUUCAGCAAAUGACACCAACGCACAGGCACCCAGCGAUCCCAGAGGAAGGCGCAUGCUUGUGCAUCCACACGAGUGUGCACCAGGCACUGGGCUGGGCAGGAUGUGCAAAGGGAAAAAAAUCUCUUUGGAGUCUAGUGUCUCCUAUCACUGUCCUUCUGGGUAAUUGUGGAAGAAACAAAAGAAGCAACUGAGCGUCUCUCUCCGUCACGUCUUGCUCCCAGUUAGUAGCCCCUCCACAACGCGUCCAAGCUGCUUUUUGUUUUCGGCGUUUAUUUUAUGUAUUGAUAAGGAAGGGGUGUGUACCCGGGUGGAGGCCAGAAGUCAGUCCUGGGUGUCAGUCUUCUGAUCCAUUUUAUUUUUUUGAGACAAGAUCUUCCACUGGACCUGGACUCAUUCUCAAAGACUUGCUGACUAGGAAUUGAAAGAUGAAAGGAGACAGAGGAAAUGGAGAGAGACUUCCAGUGUGGAAGAGAGAAGAGAACCUGGGGUUUCCUUCCAUUGAACACUCACUCCUAAGCACAGCAGUCACACUGAGUUAGAGCGCAUCUUGAGAAAUGCCCGUGUUUGCCUUAAUGAUAUCCACUAAGACCUACCUCAAAACAAAAGUCCCGUUCAAACUCACUACAUCUGUGGGGGAAACACAAUUUAACUCACGACACAGUCUAUUAAUUAGUUGGUAGCGCAAGACUGCUGUAUCAGAAUAACUCCUAGGACACUUAGUCAUUCACUGUGAGGGAGAAAGACAACCCGGAGUGUGGCAGGACUGAGAAGCGCCGUUUUCUGAAGUGACAUGAUGAAUCCAGAGUUCUUUAAGAUAGUUAACGUGUGUCACUUUGAGACAUAUGAGUUGACAGCUGGGGAUGAAGACAGAGAACAUGAGCAUGCAAGAAAAAAAAUAGUGAGUGAUGGAGCCUUGGGGCCAGGAGCCUGCAGGGGGCAGAGUCCUGGCUGGCAACAGCUGCUGUCGGACCUAAGGGUGUUUCUGCUGCUCUGGCCCCACCGGUGCUGACUGGCCCCACCGGAGCUGCCUGCCUGCCUGCCUGGGGUUGGCUGCCAGUGUCCACACAAUCCUCCUUCCUCUCCCUAGGGGAAGCUGUUUACCACAGGAAGAGGGUUCACCUUGCAUAUUUUUAUCACUCUUCACUGCCUGCCUCAGUUUACCCCUUUAGGUAACACUAACACCUGAAGUGAGAAGAGAAUGGCCUUGUGGGUCAUCUGUUAUGACCCCAGGUGUCCCCAUACGUGUCUUCAGGACAGCGGUCACCUUCUGAGGAACCUUUAAGAGAUGGAGUCUCAUUGGAGGAAGUGAGUCACUGGAGUGAAGCCCCACUUCCUGCUCAGCUUCUGCUUCCUGACUGUGGAUGUGACCAACUGCCUCCUACACUUGCUGCCAUGCCUUUCCCCGGGAUUAAUUGCAUUCCCUCCAACUGUAAUCAAAAUAAGCCCCUCCUCCCUUAUUCGGGCAGCCUUGAGAACAGUAACCAGUAAACCUGUAAAGGCAUGUUAUUUGUUGCAAUGCUGCCACAGGUCCUGUUCUCAAGAAGCUCACGUUGGUGGGCGGAAACAUGCAUAGUAAAUGAGAAAAAGAGAGAUAAAUGGUGGCAUGUUGAAGAUGCGUGAAGAUGAGGCCAGGGUGAGCCACUGAGGGACCGGGCAAGGUGGGAGGGGAUGCAUGGGCUGAGGAGAGAGUCACGGGAGGAAGCCAGACGCCUGGCAAUGUGAGGGGAAGGAAGAGACUCUAACCAAAGGGACUAGCAUGCGCAAGGCCCAUGUGGUAGGAACUGGAAGGAGGUUUUCAUACUCCAGGUGCAGAAUGGAGUUCUUACAGGCUGCAGGAGAGCGAGGGAGCGUGGUGGGUGCUGUAAAUGAGGCUUAGUUCUGGUAGACUGCAAUAAUAAGCGUGGAUCUUACUUUAAGCUCAAUGAGAAGCUGGUGGUAUGAGUUGAUUUCCAUUUUAUAUCCAAGAUCACAAAACCAGUGAAUGAGAAAUGAGUUAUCAAGUCAUGCUAAUCACCACAGAGCCGUGUUCUCAACUGCACAGCAAGCUGGCUGCAUGUCGGAUUGGAAAGCUGGAGCCCCUCUCCGUGGGUCCCCAGAGCUUCCACAACAGUGGCUCUCAGUCAGGGGCGAUUCUGUCCCCCAGGGAGCACUUGGCAAGGCCUGGAGAUAUUGUUGGCUGGAACCAUUUUCAAGCAGGGUGUCCUACUGGAAAUCAAUAGAGAGAGGUCAGGGGCUUUGUUGAACCCACGGGACAGAUCCCACCCACAGCAAUGAGUCGUCUGCUCUGAGCACCCAGAUUAGAGCUCUGAAUACAGAGAACCAUGUUGUCAUUCGUUUAUAGGGAGCAUCACAGGUCAGCUCUAAUGAAACGCCGGACUCCAUCUGACAUCCUCAGUGCAGUCUUCAGCUCGGGAGGACUUCUUCAGACAGGUGCUGCCUUCAGCCUCCACUUGACCACGAAGCCAGGCAGACUUUGGUCUAAGGGAGACACGGCAAGUCGGCUGUCGGUGUGGAGAAGGGAGACCACCGGUUUGCCUGAGCUCUCUCCCUCUUAGAGACCAUGGCUGUGUCUCCUGGCAUCCAAGCAGCCAGGCGGCAGAUGAAAUAAAUCCAGCCAUUCCUGGAAGCAGGCUAGAUGAUGGAGACUGCCUGGCUCCAGCCAAGACUAGAUGUUGAAGCUGAAAUGUCAGUGGUCUACCAGCUGCCCCUUAAAUACCACUUUAUGGCAUUUGCCCAUGUGCACACAUUCCCUAUGAUAACCGAACACUCAGAGGGAGCUUUUAAAUGACUGCAGGUCCACCCAGUUCACACUCCCCCAUGAUAGCCACGAGCUCAGACCACACAUCACAGUGGCUAUUGAGUGGCAACUCCCCUCUCACCAAAUAUUGACCAGUUUGGGGGUUUGACGUAUGCACAUGUACCUUCUCUUUCAAACCCUGUAGCUGACUAUCCAUCACUUACACUUUACAAAUGGCCCAUCACGCUCACUAAAAUGAAUUGGGUGCUUACCGUGUGCCACACGCUGUCAGUGCAUCCAUACAUCAUCUCCUUGAGCCAUCCUGUCUUCAUCCGGUUCCUUCAAAAGCAAACCUCAGAGCGAAAGUAGCCGGCUACAUUGGGAGGUGGCUAGAGCCAGGUAGCAGAGGAAGAAAAACCAAUUAGAUUGUAUUGGUGAUGGCGCCAGCGCUUGGGAAACUGGGGGCUCUAGUCCCGGGGAGCAGCUGGAAGACUCUGCAGAACACAGCCCAGGUUGGUCUCCGCACAGAGGGGAGGAAGCUCUGGCCCUCUUGAGCUGCCCCAGGGAUAUGUACUAUGUUCAGAUCUCCUUCACUAUGAACCUGACUAGAUUUUAGGAGACACACCUUUGAGUAAG